UGAAAAAAUGUUUUUUGUGAUUUUGGCAUGAAAACACGUUUUUCGGCUUUUGCGGGAAAACACGUUUUUGCAAUUUUGACGGGAAAACACGUUUUUACAAUUUUGGCGGCAAAAAAUAGUUUUUAAGUUUUCGCGGGAAAACGUGUUUUUGUAGUUUUGUCAGUUUUCGUAUGUGACAAAAAUGAUAUUAUCUUUAGGAUUGUAAUUUGUGAAUUACAUUAGGGGCAUAAUAGAUAUUAUACCAUUUUGAAUGAACCAUCUCCAUUCAAAUGAUACAAAUUGGUUCAGCUGAAUGGACUUUAAAAUUAAGCCUAAAUUUCCAAAAGUCAUCCGGAUGAUCCAUCUGAAUGAGUUGCAUUUUUAGUGCCUAAACAAACAAAACUCUUAUCUUCAUCCAAAUGACUUAUCGAGAUGAAGAAACAAACUAAUCCUGGAUUUUCAAAUCAUUAGGAGGGAUAUCCAAGGAGGAAGUGAAAACGUAUUUGUGGGGAAAUUUAAGAGAGAAGUAAGUAAUUUCGUGUAAACUUUCUCCUCCUUCUUAUUUGUCUUUCAUAUGAACCUAUUUCUCCGGUUACCUGUUUAUCAAAUGCUUGAGGAUCCUGGACAGACAAGAAGUUACUAUUGCACAGGUUAUCUGCAACAAGUGGAACUGUAUCACCAUUGUUAAUUAAAGGAGUUGAAAUUUUGGGGAUAAAACUCAGUGACUGCUCGAGUGUGAUUCAUUUCACGAUUACAUGCUUUUCAACACAUUCGUUGUGUUUAUUUUUCUCCACCAGUUAGGGGACUGCACGAGUGUGAUUCAUUUGUGUCAGUUUCUGGUGCAUAAACUGUUGAUCCUAUUCCGCUCUCCGGACGCACUGCAAAUUUAGGGAUGUCCGAGUUGGGAAGCAGCAUGCGUUAGCUUUCAAGGCACAAAAAGAUGUGAAUGUCAUCUCAUGGAACAGGUUCUUUUGCCAAGAAUGGGAUGCUCUGGUAUCACAUUUUGAGAAGCAUAAGCAUCCUACCACGUCGAUUGAGUAAGGCACUCAUGAAUCCUCGACUCUUGCAGCCUCUUCUGGCGAUAACCAGCUCACAUAUGGGAUUUAUCCUUAGAAAAGGAUGAAGAAGAGGAAGCAGAGUUCAAAGCAUAUACACCAAGGAACAACUGAACAAGUUAAAACGCCUCGUGACUUGCCUUCUUAGCUUCUUUUCUUUUACCAGAAAAUCAGCGUCAAGGACUUGAAAGGACUUCACUGGCACAACCAGAUUCCAGGGAUGAUCAUCUCAGCUGCUUCUGAAUUCUGAUAGUUUCAACAGUUUCGAUGCCUUACAACAUGUAGAACACCCUUCCUGAUCUCGGUUCCUAAGAAGAUUGAGUCUCUGAAAAAAUUUCAAGUAUUGUAGUCUCUGAAAAAAUUUCAACAUGUUGAGUUUUGUAUUGUCAUCUCUCUUUUCUACUGAAAUAUAUUUUCAUUGAUAGCAAGUUUAAUGAAUUGUACUCUUUCACAACUUAACGUUUCACAAAUAAGUUUUGAAAAUCAUUCUCAUCUCCACGAGUUUCUAUUAUUUCACAACUUUUAAGCUUUCAUCACUGGUUGAUUUGCUUGCGGUUGCCACAAAAUGAGAAAACAAUUUGAAGAAAAAAAGGCCAACAAUUCGUGAAACUGUCUGAGAUAGAAAAAUAAUCAUUGGAGGACCAUUCCUUAUGAUCAUCGGUCCUCAGUCAACAACUACUGGUCGAGGGUGUUUGGAUGCGGCACAACUAUGUUUCGCUACAAAAGAGAAAAUCUACAUUUAAAACACUGAAAACUAAAAAAGAAACUGAAGAAAAACAACAUUUAUAUGCAUGACCAUUCAUUAAAAAAAGGUAAUGCAUCAAUUGCUGACUAACACAAGAUUAAUGAAAAGAAAAGAGAAAUAUAUUUUUUUCAAAAUUAGUGGUGCAUCUAAAUAACCAAAAUUUAAAGAUAACACAGCAUAGCGAAAAAACAAAACUUUAAAAGUUUCAAAAAGUUCUGAGAGAGAGAGAGAGAAAGCUCCAUACUCUCCCUAAAAACUCAGUUUCUCUUUUCAGAUCUGGUUAAGACCGGCGUGCGUGGGCUUACACAGCCACAACGUCGGUCUUAAUCCUUCCUUUAGCUUGCUUUUGGUGUUGGGUUUCUCGUGUUUGAUAGAGAUUUCUUCUUGGUGGUUGUGUGAUUACGGUGGAAGAGGUUUCCCGGUUCGAUCUCCGGUCAGAGCUAACUAAUCCUUUUGAUUAUGACGAAGAAGACGCCGGAUCUGGUAAAGGUACAGAGCAAUUCACCUGCAAAUGUCUUCUUCUCUGCAUUUUACUGAGCUUCUGUUAAGAUCUUGCUGUCCGGGGACCAAUUCCAUUAACUCUCGCCAUGUUUUGAGAUCUCUGCUCCGUUCAAGGGUGUUUAUGGCUUUAGAAAGGCUGAAUCUGAGGUGUCUUUGUUGGGAUUUUAGUGUCAAUCUUCUUUUACCUUCGUUCUAGCUUCGGUGUAAACGGUGUGCGAUGGUGGCGUGGUGGUGUGAGGAAAUCAGAACAUGUCUAACAUCUUUGAGAAGUUUCAGGUUGCUUGUCCCGCUCUAGAAAAGAGUCAUUGUCGCGGCCUUUGGAUAAGUGUAUUUCUCGGUUUGUCUUUUGCUCUCGUGUUCCUCGGUUGCUUCGGCUAAUCGAAGCAGUAUAAUGAGGUUGAGGGUAGUAAGGUUUCUGAUGAAGGUUCGUUUGAAGAGGGAGCUUGCCCCAGUUGUAGUUCUUCUCUGGUUGGUAUAUGAUGUUAUUCUUGUUGGUUUUGGCUUGGUACUGUGAACUGGAGGUUCAGGUAAGUUUAGUUCUGUUUCGUUGUUAUGGCCACUGCAUCGCUUCCUCUCUCGUCAAGAGUUCCGGCUGUUCAAAUCGUAAAAGGAUUAAUAUUGUUAUCCUUUGUCAAAGAUUGUCUUUACUUUGGUUAUAUGAGUCUAGAGUUCUCUUGUGUUGGUUGUAGUUUUAUCAAGUGUCACCCUUUAUUUGGGUUUAAGUCACCCGUUGUUUGGGUUCAUGUCUCCCUGUUGUGGGUUUAAGAUCUCACUCUUGUAUGUUCUGUUCUACAAGUUUUAUUAAUCAAAACCAGUUGG